rnacentral:rRNA from 1 species
AGCGAACGCUGGCGGCAGGCUUAACACAUGCAAGUCGAGCGGGCCCUUCGGGGUCAGCGGCGGACGGGUGAGUAACGCGUGGGAACGUGCCCUCUGGUCUGGAAUAACCCUGGGAAACUAGGGCUAAUACCGGAUACGCCCUUUUGGGGAAAGGCUUGCUGCCGGAGGAUCGGCCCGCGUCUGUUUAGCUAGUUGGUGGGGUAACGGCCUACCAAGGCGACGAUCAGUAGCUGGUCUGAGAGGAUGAUCAGCCACACUGGGACUGAGACACGGCCCAGACUCCUACGGGAGGCAGCAGUGGGGAAUAUUGGACAAUGGGCGCAAGCCUGAUCCAGCCAUGCCGCGUGAGUGAUGAAGGCCUUAGGGUUGUAAAGCUCUUUUAUCCGGGACGAUAAUGACGGUACCGGAGGAAUAAGCCCCGGCUAACUUCGUGCCAGCAGCCGCAGUAA